rnacentral:rRNA from 1 species
UACGUAGGUCCCGAGCGUUGUCCGGAUUUAUUGGGCGUAAAGGGAGCGCAGGCGGGAAGCCAAGUCAGCUGUGAAAACUACGGGCUUAACUUGUAGACUGCAGUUGAAACUGGUUUUCUUGAGUGAAGUAGAGGUUGGCGGAAUUCCGAGUGUAGCGGUGAAAUGCGUAGAUAUUCGGAGGAACACCGGUGGCGAAGGCGGCCAACUGGGCUUUAACUGACGCUGAGGCUCGAAAGUGUGGGGAGCAAACAGG